CCCCAACGAGACGACGACUGGAUCUCCGUCGGUCUUCCCCCAAAGAGAACGAGACGACGACUGGCUCUCGUCGUCGCCCGACCGCGGUGCCGAACGACAAUGGUGCACAAAUUACAGUGAAGUUGGUAGACUUCAGGAGCUACUAGGCAAUGAACUAUCCUAAAACGGUGCUUCAUCUAGGUGUGACCCAAGAGUGGGUGGAUGAAGGUUAAUUGCCAAAGGAGCGAACAAAAUCGAAGGUGGAAGAGACCCUGCGAUGUAUUGGCAGAGGCCAUAUAUGGAGGGUUCACAAUUCGAGUUCAUCCCACAAGGAUCAAAAUGCAAUAGAGAUGUCACCAGGAGACGACAUGGUACAACGGAUCGUGGUGGAACAGUUCGUGGGAAUGCGAUACAUACGACGUAGUCCUGUGAGGGAUAAUGACAUAUUAAGAAAAAUACAUAUGUUUGAUUUCAUUGUAUUAUACUAUCAUUAUAUGUAAAUAUUUUUUUUAUUUUUAUAA